rnacentral:rRNA from 1 species
GCGCAGCAGGCGAGAAUUUUUCUCAAUGGGGGAAACCCUGAAGGAGCGACGCCGCGUGGAGGAUGAAGGCUUUCGGGUUGUAAACUCCUGUCAUUUGAGAACAAGUGGCCGAACGUAACUACUUCGGCCUUGAUAGUAUCAGAAGAGGAAGGGACGGCUAACUCUGUGCCAGCAGCCGCGGUAAUACAGAGGUCUCAAGCGUUGUUCGGAUUCAUUGGGCGUAAAGGGUGCGUAGGUGGCGCCGUAAGUCGGGUGUGAAAUUUCGGAGCUUAACUCCGAAACUGCAUUCGAUACUGCGGUGCUUGAGGACUGGAGAGGAGACUGGAAUUUACGGUGUAGCAGUGAAAUGCGUAGAGAUCGUAAGGAAGACCAGUGGCGAAGCGGGUCUCUGGACAGUUCCUGACACUGAGGCACGAAGGCCAGGGGAGCAAACGGGAUUAGAUACCCGCGUAGU